AUGGACGGCGCAAGCGUACAGCCCACAGCGCAACAAAAACGGGUUGGAAUCGAGCCGGGAUCCGAUCCACCCUGCCUCGCGCCCCGUCAUCACCCGCGCCGCGAAUGGCUCGCGCGGCCGGCCGCCCCAGCCCAACCACCGGGAUGCGAUGGCCCCUUUUCCUUUUCCCGGUGGAAACUGCGUCCCGUCGCCCGUCCUUGCGAUCUCGGGCCACGCGCGGCACAAUCAAGCGACGAUCAUUGCGGCGACCUACCGACCGGGUCCCAGAGACGAUUGGGGCGCGAGCGUCAACAGAGUCCUAAUCCCGGUCGUGCUGCUACUACCGCUAUCUAG
rnacentral:rRNA from 1 species